GGGAUAUGAGGAGUGGGUUGAUUCUCUAAUAUUAUGAGAGUUGGGUGCUCACCCCAAAGCCUGGUUACGACAAUUGAGCAUCCUCCAAAUUCAAUUCUGAUCCC
rnacentral:snoRNA from 2 species